rnacentral:lncRNA from 10 species
AGAUGCCAAUUUCUGUCUGUUUAUCCUGUACUCCAAAUCCAGGUAGGAAGGAUUGGAGAGUUUUCUUUUGUACUUAUCUACAUCUUAACACUCAUUUUCAGGGAGCAGGGAAGAAUAAAAAUUGACCCUGAAAAUUAUUCAACACCUAGCAUAGCCAAAGAGAAACCUAGGGAAGCAACUACAUUGUAUUAUGGUGCUGCAAGAAGCAUCAUGUAACAAGGUCAGACCGGAAUCUGGCUUUGCCCUAGAAUUACUUUUUGAUCUUAGCAAAACAACAACAAAAAGCCCCACCUAUCUUGGCCUUUUAGUGUUCUCAAUCUGUAGUGGAGAUAAUGCCUCUGCCUUACUUUCGAGGGAUAAAUGAGAUGAUCCCUGUAAAAUGCUUUGAACUCCUCUAAGAAAAUUCUUAAUAAUAGUUACAGGUCAAAUCCUGUUACAAAAAAAUGCCAUCCCUCCCCCUCUCCAAAUGCAACAAAGACUUUGUGUAGAAAACGAUUUCCAAACUCAAGGCAGUGGUUUAUUGAAAGCACUAUUUUAUAGAUUUCAAUGCGGCCAAAGAAUUUAAGCCAUGUUUUAGAGAUCAUUAUAAAGAAAUUUACUUAUUCACAGGUACCAUACUGUUAGAAGACUACUAAGGCAGGAAUACUUCACAUUUAGGUGAUGUCAUGAGUUCAAUAUUUAUUGAUUUUGCUACAUUUGUGUACUAUGAGCGAAUCAAGAAGGAAGACAAAUGAUAUA